rnacentral:rRNA from 1 species
CCUAACACAUGCAAGUCGAACGGUAACAGGAAACAGCUUGCUGUUUCGCUGACGAGUGGCGGACGGGUGAGUAAUGUCUGGGAAACUGCCUGAUGGAGGGGGAUAACUACUGGAAACGGUAGCUAAUACCGCAUAACGUCGCAAGACCAAAGAGGGGGACCUUCGGGCCUCUUGCCAUCGGAUGUGCCCAGAUGGGAUUAGCUAGUAGGUGGGGUAACGGCUCACCUAGGCGACGAUCCCUAGCUGGUCUGAGAGGAUGACCAGCCACACUGGAACUGAGACACGGUCCAGACUCCUACGGGAGGCAGCAGUGGGGAAUAUUGCAUAAUGGGCGCAAGCCUGAUGCAGCCAUGCCGCGUGUAUGAAGAAGGCCUUCGGGUUGUAAAUACUU